CACGUAGGGGCGCAAUGCGUUGUCCGGAAUUAUUGGGCGUAAAGAGCUCGUAGGCGGGCUCUGUUGCGUCCGACGUGUGAAAACUCGGGGCUUAACCCCGAGCCUGCAGUGGAUACGGGCAGACUAGAGGUAGGUAGGGGAGAAUGGAAUUCCCGGUGUAGCGGUGAAAUGCGCAGAUAUCAGGAGGAACACCAAUUGCGAAGGCAGCUCGCUGGGACGUUACUGACGACUGAUGCGCGAAAGCGUGGGGAGCAAACAGG
rnacentral:rRNA from 1 species